UACGUAGGGGGGCGAGCGUUGUCCGGAUUUAUUGGGCGUAAAGAGCUCGUAGGCGGUUUGUCGCGUCUGCUGUGAAAUCUGGGGGCUCAACCCCCAGCCUGCAGUGGGUACGGGCAGACUAGAGUGCGGUAGGGGAGAUUGGAAUUCCUGGUGUAGCGGUGGAAUGCGCAGAUAUCAGGAGGAACACCGAUGGCGAAGGCAGAUCUCUGGGCCGUAACUGACGCUGAGGCACGAAAGCGUGGGUAGCAAACAGG
rnacentral:rRNA from 1 species